UAGUGGAUGCUCUGGCAAUGACCUGUGGUAAGAUCUGAGACAGGUCCCUCUGGGUGUGCUGGGUGCUGCAAAGAGAGCAUGUAGCGGACAAGUCCCUUCUCUGAAGAGUUCCCAGUGGAAGUGGUGGACCUGGCAGACUGAUAAGUUUCAGUGACUGCAGAUUUUCAUCAGGGCUGUGAUUUAUGUGGUGCAACUUCUGCUUAUGGCAGCGGUAUGGUGUAGCGCACAGGCUUGGGAAGCAGACCUGGUUUCUAGGCCGUCAUUUGACAUUGACUUGCACAAGGCACUGAACCCCUC